rnacentral:rRNA from 1 species
AUGGCUGAUAAAUUAACUGCCAUACCUAUCGGUAUUUGUGAGGAUGUGCCCGUUGUUGUUGCUAAUGUUACUAUUCUGAUUGACUUUGUUAUACUAGAGAUGCCCGAGGAUGAAAACAUGUCGAUUAUCCUUGGUAGACCCUUCUUGAAUACUACAGGGGUUGUUAUCGAUUGCAAUAAAAGCAAUAUCACUUUUCAUAUCAAUGGUAAUGAGCAUAUGGUGCACUUUCCGAAGAAACAAUUCCUAGUGAAUAGUAUUAAUGUUAUUGAAAGAUCUCUGACAAUCACUAUUGGAAGUUUUCAACUACCUCUACCUACUGUUAAAAAGAAAUAUAAAAUGCUUAUUGUUGGAGACAUUCAUAUCCCAUUGAGGUAA